UGAACUCUCAUUUCAAUAUGCUGAUAAAUCACAUUUUAUUGCUUCAGACAAAGUACUACCAAUAAUAAAUCACUUUGGAAAACAGUGUGUUAAAGGGUGUUAAAUAAUUUGAAUGCAUUUGAAAGAUUUUUAAAAUUCCAAAUAAGCACUUAAAACCAUAAUAGUGACAUGCAGUUUAAAAGUAAAUCAUUUUAAAAGUUACAUCAUUCAGUGUCAAGACCUUCAUUAUCAGCACAUAAACAUUACAUUAUAAUGUAAAAUGUAAUGAAUUGUACACCUUUAAACAUUCAACUGAUGAUUAAGGACCGCAAGAUAUUAUAACAUUACCAUCACCCCUUGUUGCAGUAACACAGUUUGUGGUGUCUUGUGUCGUGGUAGCUAAUGUUGUUGUUGUUGUUUUGCCAGCAGUCAGUGGACUUGUUGUGCUAGCUGGAGAGAAUGUGCUUGACACAACUUCCUCCGAAGAUUCAGAGUCACUUGAUUUAGACUCGUUUGAUUCAGAUUUCUCAUCGGACUGUGAAUCCUCCCUGUCUUCUCUGCUUGAAUCAUUUUCCUCUGAGCUGAAUCUAGAUUGCACAGUGUCUGAUGAAUCAAAUCUUCUGCGCAAAUCAAACUGAGGUGGUUUAGAAAAGACUGAUGCAACAAACACCAUCAGUAGGAUUGCAUGUAAUGUCUUCAUCCUGCAAAAUAAAAGCAUCAAAAGAACCUAAUGUGAAGCUAUUAUUCUCUGGUUAAUUCAAAUAGUGAAUUACCACAGAUUAAAAUUUUAUUUAUAAGCUUGCUUGUAUUCAUCAAUUAUUCAGUUACCACUAAUAAAGAUACAUUUAAAAGUCAUAAACAUAACAUAACAUAAUAUAGCAUAGAGAUGAAUAGUUUACCUUGCACAGAUGUUCUUGUCCAGUUAUUACAAUGUCACAGUCUGUAUUUACUCUGGCAUCCGUUGUACUGUGUCUUAAAUACUGGAUGGAUGUGAGUAAACCGGCUUCGUCCAGUAAAUUCCCAUGACGACAAUGUGACAACAUUUAUGCAACUUCCGGGUCUCUACCAAACCUUGCACAAUGCCU
ensembl:lncRNA